UGCAAGUCGAGCGGUAAGGCCUUUCGGGGUACACGAGCGGCGAACGGGUGAGUAAAANGGGGGGGAUCUGCCCUGCACUCUGGGAUAAGCUUGGGAAANUGGGACUAAUACCGGAUAUGACCGCAUGCCGCAUGGUGUGUGGUGGAAAGAUUUAUCGGUGCAGGAUGGGCCCGCGGCCUAUCAGCUUGUUGGUGGGGUAAUGGCCUACCAAGGCGACGACGGGUAGCCGACCUGAGAGGGUGACCGGCCACACUGGGACUGAGACACGGCCCAGACUCCUACGGGAGGCAGCAGUGGGGAAUAUUGCACAAUGGGCGGAAGCCUGAUGCAGCGACGCCGCGUGAGGGAUGAAGGCCUUCGGGUUGUAAACCUCUUUCAGCAGGGACGAAGCGUGAGUGACGGUACCUGCAGAAGAAGCACCGGCUAACUACGUGCCAGCAGCCGCGGUAAUACGUAGGGUGCGAGCGUUGUCCGGAAUUACUGGGCGUAAAGAGUUCGUAGGCGGUUUGUCGCGUCGUUUGUGAAAACCCGGGGCUCAACUUCGGGCUUGCAGGCGAUACGGGCAGACUUGAGUGUUUCAGGGGAGACUGGAAUUCCUGGUGUAGCGGUGAAAUGCGCAGAUAUCAGGAGGAACACCGGUGGCGAAGGCGGGUCUCUGGGAAACAACUGACGCUGAGGAACGAAAGCGUGGGUAGCAAACAGGAUUAGAUACCCUGGUAGUCCACGCCGUAAACGGUGGGCGCUAGGUGUGGGUUCCUUCCACGGGAUCUGUGCCGUAGCUAACGCAUUAAGCGCCCCGCCUGGGGAGUACGGCCGCAAGGCUAAAACUCAAAAGGAAUUGACGGGGGCCCGCACAAGCGGCGGAGCAUGUGGAUAAAUCGAUGCAACGCGAAGAACCUUUACUGGGUUUGACAUACACCGGAAAACC
rnacentral:rRNA from 1 species